rnacentral:ncRNA from 2 species
GGCCAAAACGCGGUCUCGGGUGCCCGUGCUGGAUUCAUCAGCCGGGUUAAACGGGAAACAGGUAAGGAAAUCAGGAUCAAAUGAUCCUGAUUUCCUGAAGCCUGUGCUGCCCCCGCAACGGUAAGCGAGUGUGGACUCGCCAAAACGCCACUGAGCGCAUCGCGCUCGGGAAGGCGGCGAGUCAGGUUCUCGCGAGCCCGUAUACCGGCCCGGACCGGAAGUGAGUG